rnacentral:rRNA from 1 species
AUGGACAUGACCGGGCAGCUACCCGAGGACAUGCUCCUGGACGUCCUCCGCCGCCUCUCUCCCCGCAGCCUCGCGGCGUGCCGCUGCGUCCGCAAGGAAUGGCGCACGGACCUUCUCCCGCUCUCGCUCGACGGCGUCUUCCUCGAGUUGCGCGACCCGGACCUGCCCCUCGAGCGGAUGGAGCACCCCAUGCCCGCGCUCUUCUCACGCCGCACCACGGCGCGCCGGAUCGCCGCCAGCCUUGGCUACCCGGACACCCCCUGCAUCUACGAGUGCGGUGUGCAGGACUGCUGCAACGGCCUCCUCCUCCUGCUUUGUGACUACGUGGUUAAUCCUGCCACGCUACAGUGGGUGGAAUUGCCUACAGCGCCACGCCGGUGCUGCUUUCUCUGCAUGAGCAGUCCCUACCUCGUGUUUGAUCCAACGGUGUCGCAACACUACGAGGUGCUCUCGGUCCCGGACAUACCAUGGAACCUCCCAACGGGACACAUUUCCAAGCAUGCGUGCAUGGAUAAGCCGGUGUCCGAGAUGGAGUGGCCGCCUUCGCCGUACAUCGUGAAUGUCUUCUCGUCACGGGCCGGCGAGUGGAAGCAGAGGUCGUUUGUUCGGGAGGGGAAGGCCGCGGGAACGGUCGCCGAGUGCAGGUCGAAAGAAAGACGCAUACUGCGUUAUGCUGCUUACUGGCAUGGAGCACUCUACGUCUCUUGCGAAGACAAUUUUGUUUUGAGAAUGAACUUGUCAAAUGAUAAAUACCAAGUAAUUCAGUGCCCUCAAGGAAAGAAGCUAGAGUCUUAUGCACCUCGCCUCGGCAAAUCCAAGAAGGGUGUCUAUUGUGCGUUCCGUGUUGCACGUGAUGCAUUCCAGGUAUGGUUCCUUAACGAAACGGAUGGAAAGAUGGAAUGGGUAUUGAACAAUGACAUCAACUUUGAGCAUGUUUCAAAAUGCCCUCGUAACUUUGUUCGGGGACCAUGGAUCUUACAAGGAAGCGACAAUAACGAAGAGCUAGUCGAAGACAACUCUGAAUGGGACCCAAACAAUGAUAACGUGGUUAGCGCUGAAGAUUGGGUUGUCAAGUACGGUUCUAACUCAACAAUUGAUUUUCUUGGAUUUCAUCCUUACAAAGAGAUUGCCCUGUUUGAAUCGACCGGCCAUGUAAUGGCCUACCAUAUGAACACUUCAACGGUUCGGGAUUUGGGUCAUAUUAAAAUGGGGAGGAACGAGAUUGAAUGUUCUUUCCCAUACAUGCCAUGUUGGAUGGGGCCGUUACCCAGAAGCCAUUAUAGAACCCAGUUUUGUUCAUAG